ACCCCGGUAGUCCACGCUGUAAACGAUGUGAACGAGGUGUGGGCAGUGUAGAAGCCGUCUGUGCCGGAGCAAACGCGAUAAGUUCACCGCCUGAGGAGUACGGUCGCAAGGCUAAAACCCAAAGGAAUUGACGGGGGCCCGCACAAGCAGCGGAGCGUGUGGUUUAAUUCGAUGCAACGCGAAGAACCUUACCUGGGCUUGACAUGUACGUAGUAGUGAAGGGAAACCGGAACGAGCCUUCGGGCAGCGUAGACAGGUGCUGCAUGGCUGUCGUCAGCUCGUGUCGUGAGAUGUUGGGUUAAGUCCCGCAACGAGCGCAACCCGUGUUGCUAGUUACAAGUGUCUAGCGAGACUGCCGGUAACAAGCCGGAGGAAGGUGCGGAUGAUGUCAAGUCAGCAUGGCCUAUAUGUCCAGGGCUACACACACGCUACAAUGGCUGGUACAAAGAGAAGCGAAAGGGAGACCUGAAGCGAAUCUCAUCAAAGCCAGUCAUAGUUCGGAUUGCAGGCUGCAACUCGCCUGCAUGAAGUCGGAGUUGCUAGUAACCGCAGGUCAGCAAUACUGCGGUGAAUACGUUCCCGGGCCUUGUACACAC
rnacentral:rRNA from 1 species